UACGUAGGCAGCAAGCGUUGUUCGGAAUUACUGGGCGUAAAGAGUGUGUAGGCGGUGCCCUAAGUUCGGUGUGAAAUCUCCUGCUUAACUGGGAGGGUGCGCCGGAAACUGGAGUGCUCGAACGUGGGAGAGGAAAGCGGAAUUCCUGGUGUAGCGGUGAAAUGCGUAGAUAUCAGGAGGAACACCUGCGGUGUAGACGGCUUUCUGGACCAUUGUUGACGCUGAGACACGAAAGCGUGGGUAGCAAACAGG
rnacentral:rRNA from 1 species